rnacentral:lncRNA from 1 species
GUGGGAAUUUAUCUCCUCCUGGGCUGACCCUUUGCAGGUGGCCAUUUGUCCAUGAGUGCAGGAGUGGGAAAGCCCCGUGCCCUUGACCGAGAUUAGGACCACUCUGAGGUGAAACUUCUUGUCCAGAGUUCCCUGUGUGAGCAGACUGAAGCCACCCUGUGUGGGAUUUUACUUGAGCUCACACCCUCAUUUGGCUUCCUCUCCUUCCCUAUCCUGCUCCCUUCAGCCUUUCAUUGGUGUUCCUAUGAGCAUUUCCUUGAAAAAUCACCUGCCUGUGAACUUUCAUCUCAGGAUCUGCUUCUGGGGAAAUUGACCCAGGAGAAAUUACACUUUAAAAUCUAAUGGAUGUGCUCAUUUGUUCCCUCUUAGAUAAAAAUUUCUUCUCAAUAUUUAACAUAUUCAAUAUUUAAUAGCCUUCAUUCUUCAUUUUAGGUGGGAAAAAAUCAACGACCAACAUUACGUGCAAUGUCAUGUUAGGAUGUUCUCUGUUAUUAUAUAACUUUUCAUAAGAUUUGAUGUGACCUGCAAUAAUUUUUGUAGCAAGCUGUGUAGAAAAGUGUUUUACUGAGUGUGUUCAUGUAUAAGAAUGCAACUUAUAAUUGUAUGAAAACUAGAAAUGGAGUUAAAAAUUCCACUAUUGAAUUUCGAGGAGUUUGAAAUUCUAAGUUCUUAAGUUGUAUUGCAAAUAUAGCAAGUAUGCUUUUUAAAAGUGGGUACAUUUUGAAUUCACAUGGUUCAGAUAAUUCUAUUUCUUUCAGCGUUAUGAGUGAAACAUUGAUAUGUUUCCUGUGUUCGUUUCCCAAGCUGAGCAUUUUAUUUCCCCCCGCAGGACCCACAGAUAAGCAAAUCAUUCCAAAUUUAGCACAUUGCAAACAUCUCGUGUUUAAAUCAUAAAUGCUUUUAUGGGUUUUGUGCUUUUGGCUAAUUUUGUCCUCCACUUUGCUUCAGGUAAUAUUCUGAAUGAUGGGAGUUUCUUCCGCAUCCAGACUGGUGAUGGUGUUGAACUCUCAAAAUGGCCAGUCUCGUCCACGCAACCGGUUGUGUGUCAUCAGAGUGCUGAAAGGAACAACUCUCGCAAAGCUCUCUGUGAACCAAGCAGCAUCACCGUGCCUAGCAUUUCACAAUGACCUUGGCCUUCAACUGGAGUUGGCUAUUUGUCUACUGAAGCAUGAAAUCAAUAAAAGCCAGCACCUUCAAGAAGAUAGUCGUAAUGGGAUCACUACCUUGUUGAGGUUGGAUUGACAAUACAGGACAAGAGGUUUUCCAUUUGUGGAAACUUUAUACCAAACCUAGCCUUCUUGACAGCGGGUUUGUUUAGCUGCAAGCAGUUGUCAGACACCAGCAAAGUCUCUGAAUAAUGCUGACACAGGGCCCUGUUCAGAGCCCUUUCAACACUUAGCAUCAAGCAGAUGAAAAGUGAUUUUUAAUUAUUCAUGGAAUCUUUUGUGAAUAGAGAGCAGGUGGAUGUGGUAUUUUGAAUUUGCUUCUCUGAUAAAAUCUUAUAUUUGAGUAGUUCAGGAUAAAAUCGAGAGCUUCCUGUCCCAGAUAUGGCUGAAGAGAUGGGUAGCGUAGUGUAGUGAGAAGGAGAGAUUUUAGAGUCUAGCAAAGACCAUGCCUUAGACUGACCUGCUUUGUGAUAAUGGGCAAAUUGCUUAAUCAUAUUAAACCAUAGUUUUCUGAUUUCUAAGAGUCGGUAUUGUAAUAGUUCCCGCCUUGAAGGCUUCUUAUGAAGACUAAGUGAAAGAAGAUAUGGAUAAGGAGGUAAAGAAACCCUUGAAAUCAUCCAAGAUCCUGGAUUUACAAAUAAGGAAAUUGCCAUUGUCUUGUCUAUAAAGUGAAAACCUAGGACUCCAUCCUCAUACACCUAACUCUGAGCAGUGCUCUUUCUGGCACAACAUGCUGUGGAAAGAAAAAUACUUCUAAAAAACAUAUAUUACCUAACAUCCCUAUGUAAGCUCGAAAGAGCUCACAUUAUCUAUUUAAUUCUAAUUCUAUGAAGCUAGAUUCCAACAGGCUAAAAUAUUGCAGGAAGGGGCCACAGCCAAUUGGGUUUCUAAAUGGUGCAUCGUGGGUGAAGGAUGGGAUAGUGGCUUGAGUUGUGGCCUCCAAAAAUGUAUGUCUGUGACAAAUCCCCAGAAUAUGCGAAUGUGACCUUUUUUGGAAAAAAGAUGUUGCAGAUGUAAUUAAGUUAAGGAUCUUAUGAUAAAUAGAUCAUCCUAUAUUAUCCAGUCCCUAUGUCUAA